rnacentral:rRNA from 1 species
UACGUAGGGUGCGAGCGUUAAUCGGAAUUACUGGGCGUAAAGCGUGCGCAGGCGGUUCUGAAAGUCAGCUGUGAAAGCCCCGGGCUUAACCUGGGAAUGGCGGUUGAAACUACAGGACUAGAAUCUGGCAGAGGGGGGUGGAAUUCCACGUGUAGCAGUGAAAUGCGUAGAGAUGUGGAGGAACACCGAUGGCGAAGGCAGCCCCCUGGGCUGAGUUUGACGCUCAGGCACGAAAGCGUGGGGAGCAAACAGG